UUAAUUAAGGCCUUAAAUUUGAAUUAAUAGCGUAUAUAAUGAUCAACGUGAUGGUUAGUCGCUAAUAGAGUGCGGUUAAGCGGGCUGAAAUUGUGCAUUAUACACCCGCAGUUAGGAAGCAGUGAUCCAGAUAUUGCCUUACGAUAUAAGGAUAAAAUAAGGGUGGCAGCCUUAACCCUUCUGCCCUAACUGAUGGAGAAACAACAACAAACUUGAAAGAUUAAAUUAUCUUGCGCUGACCCACAGUUUCUAUACAAAUGACCCUUGAAAGUCUACAAAAAUUUGUCUAGCUAUAAAUAUUUUAAAGCUGGAUGGGUUUCAAAUUGUUCUGUAAAAAAAGUUGGAGGUUUCACCAUUGUUACUGGAAAGAUUAAGCACUCGCAGAAAAUGAACGAGCGUGCUCUUGAUGUAUGGGUCAUAACUCAAGCAGUUGGAGGAAUUCACUCAGGACAUUGCACCUGUAUGGCGGGUCAUUCUGAAGUCUACGGCCAUGUUGCCGCCAUCUUAUAUAAGUUAGAGAGUCUAACACAAAUGGUGGAAAACAUGGCAUGCACAGAUAAAUUAUCUACCUUGAAUGUUCCUGGCCCAUCAAAAGUACCUAUAGUUAAAAUAAGAAAUGUUUGCUGCACACUCGACCAUAGGCUAACAAACUUUCUGAUAAGUAAUUUCUUUUAAUUGCAUUUAUCCAUUGUUGGCGUCUCUUUUUGGAGAGUUCAUUAAGGUCUAGUCUAUGCUUAAAACUUAGUUCUUUGGAAAUCUUAUAAAACUUACUUAGGUCUUUAUCACCUCUGCUACCACAAUUCACAACAAGUCGUUGGCAUUUUCUUCGCCAAAAUAAAAGAAUCGCAUGAAAUACUGUCUAAAUCAAAACCAACAUAAACUCCUUACGCUAUCAACUGUUGAAAAUGACCAGAUAUUUCUAAUAAAAGAGCAAAUGAGCACACAAAGUAGAAAUUUUCCUUUUAAACUGCAAUGUAAACAAAGCGGAACAAAGACAAUGUGUGCCUACAGGCGGCCAUAUUGAAUUUAUUUUGACAGAAUGCUGGUUUGCCCAAUUUUGUAUUUUUGUAAACAUAACCUCUCAAAAAUUAAUGUUUCUGAGAGGAUAUGUAGUGUUUUGUUUCCCUACUAUUGGCACAACUAAAUUUUGUCAGAGUGACCAACAUCGAAAGGACACAAUCACGCAACAUAGGUAUAUUUAUUAAGUUCGUGCCUCAUAUUCAUAAACUUGCAAUGACAAUUGGCUGUUUGACCAUACAGAACAGCUGAUUCAUCUCACAGGAUGCCCUCGUUGCCACGUGCGAACUACCCAAGUAAAACUGGAAAAGUGGAAAACAUUUAUUAUUUGAUGCCGUCAUAACCAUCAUACUACCUUCAUAUUAUUGAAAAAUCUAUGUAUUUGAAGUGAAUCUGUCAAUUUGUUUACCCUGGACUCUCUUCAAAGCGAAUAAAUCUUUCACAUUUACUAAAGGCGUUAGUUUUCAAUCCCAGGUUAGUAACAAAUAAGAACAAAAACUUGAUUCAAAUCAAUUUAUUUUAUUUCCAAGUACACAUGGUUUGAAU
rnacentral:lncRNA from 1 species